UACAGAGGUCUCAAGCGUUGUUCGGAUUCAUUGGGGCGUAAAGGGUGCGUAGGCGGCGCGGUAAGUCGGGUGUGAAAUCUCGGAGCUUAACUCCGAAACUGCAUUCGAUACUGCCGUGCUUGAGGACUGGAGAGGAGACUGGAAUUUACGGUGUAGCGGUGAAAUUCGUAGAUAUUCGGAAGAACACCAGUGGCGAAGGCGGCUCACUGGACUGGUA
rnacentral:rRNA from 1 species